UACGGAGGGUGCAAGCGUUAUCCGGAUUCACUGGGUUUAAAGGGUGCGUAGGUGGGUCGGUAAGUCAGUGGUGAAAUCUCUGGGCUUAACCCGGAAACUGCCAUUGAUACUAUCGAUCUUGAAUAUCGCGUAGGUAAGCGGAAUAUGUCAUGUAGCGGUGAAAUGCUUAGAUAUGACAUAGAACACCAAUUGCGAAGGCAGCUUACUACACAGUUAUUGACACUGAGGCACGAAAGCGUGGGGAUCAAACAGG
rnacentral:rRNA from 1 species